rnacentral:rRNA from 1 species
UCACAGCCAUAUCACCCUGCAGCCCGAGACUGGUUGCCCACUGAAGCUAAGCAGGGUUGAGCCUGGUCAGUACCUGGAUGGGAGACCUCCUGGGAAAACUAGGUUGCUGUUGGAA